GAGGGUAUAGCUCAGUGGUAAAGUCCAUGCUUACUAUGCAUAUGGUCCUGGGUUCAAUCCCCAGUACUUCUA
rnacentral:tRNA from 1 species